rnacentral:rRNA from 1 species
UGGGGAAUUUUGGACAAUGGGCGCAAGCCUGAUCCAGCCAUGCCGCGUGCAGGAUGAAGGCCUUCGGGUUGUAAACUGCUUUUGUACGGAACGAAAAGACUCCUUCUAAUAAUGGGGGUCCAUGACGGUACCGUAAGAAUAAGCACCGGCUAACUACGUGCCAGCAGCCGCGGUAAUACGUAGGGUGCGAGCGUUAAUCGGAAUUACUGGGCGUAAAGCGUGCGCAGGCGGUUUUGUAAGACAGAGGUGAAAUCCCCGGGCUCAACCUGGGAAUUGCCUUUGUGACUGCAAGGCUUGAGUGCGGCAGAGGGGGAUGGAAUUCCGCGUGUAGCAGUGAAAUGCGUAGAUAUGCGGAGGAACACCGAUGGCGAAGGCAAUCCCCUGGGCCUGCAAUGAAGCUCAUGCACGAAAGCGUGGGGAGCAAACA